UUGUCUCAAAGAUUAAGCCAUGCAUGUCUCAGUACAAGCCGAAUUAAGGUGAAACCGCGAAAGGCUCAUUAAAUCAGUUAUGGUUCCUUAGAUCGUACACACAUUUACUUGGAUAACUGUGGUAAUUCUAGAGCUAAUACAUGCAAACAGAGCUCCGACCGGAGACGGAAGGAGCGCUUUUAUUAGAUCAAAACCAAUCGGUGGCGAUUUCCGUCGUCAUCGUACAACUUGGUGACUCUGAAUAACUUUACGCUGAUCGCACGGUCUCGCACCGGCGACGCAUCUUUCAAAUGUCUGCCUUAUCAACUGUCGAUGGUAGGUUCUGCGCCUACCAUGGUUGUAACGGGUAACGGGGAAUCAGGGUUCGAUUCCGGAGAGGGAGCCUGAGAAACGGCUACCACAUCCAAGGAAGGCAGCAGGCGCGCAAAUUACCCACUCCCGGCACGGGGAGGUAGUGACGAAAAAUAACGAUACGGGACUCAUCCGAGGCCCCGUAAUCGGAAUGAGUACACUCUAAACCCUUUAACGAGGAUCAAUUGGAGGG
rnacentral:rRNA from 2 species